rnacentral:rRNA from 1 species
AGAAUCAACGCUGGCGGCGUGCCUAACACAUGCAAGUCGAACGAGAAAGGGGAGCAAUCCCUGAGUAAAGUGGCGACCGGGUGAGUAACACGUGACUAACCUACCUUCGAGUGGGGGGAUAACUCCGGGAAACCGGGGCUAAUACCGCAUAACAUCCUCGGAUCGGAAGAACUGGGGAUCAAAGGAGCAAUUCGCUUGAAGAGGGAGUCGCGGCUGAUUAGCUUGUUGGCGGGGUAAUGGCCCACCAAGGCGAUGAUCGGUAUCCGGCCUGAGAGGGCGCACGGACACACUGGAACUGAAACACGGUCCAGACUCCUACGGGAGGCAGCAGUGGGGAAUUUUGCGCAAUGGGGGAAACCCUGACGCAGCAACGCAGCGUGGAGGAUGAAGUCCCUUGGGACGUAAACUCCUUUCGACCGGGACGAUAAUGACGGUACCGGUGGAAGAGCCCCGGCUAACUUCGCGCCAGCAGCCGC